AAAAUCGUCUUGUCAUCUGAAUAUCAUUUCAAAUUUUUUCUUUUGACGGUUCAGUUUUUUGGGAAAGUUUGUUCUUUCAAAAAACCGAUUCUUCUGCUUUUCUUUACUUUCCUCUCAUUUCUCUUCUUCCCCUUCCAUUCUCAAUCCGGUUCUCGUCUCCAGUCAAUCCUUCGUUGAUUUUCAGCAUACCCUGGGACCCUUAUUUCCAGGUACAUCUCUUCCUUUCUUUUUAGAGUUUUUAUUGCCAAUGUAUGCGCAAGGGCGUUUGCAGAUCUUAGUAUAUGUUUGAAUAUGAAACUUCUAGAUAUAUUUAAUUUCUGUUGAAUAUCGUAUAUAUAUGCUCCAAUAUGUGAACGAUCUUGACUUUUUGUUACACAUUUCUUGAUUAUUCUGAGAGAGCCUCCUUUUAUUAUAACCUUCGGCCAUUCCUAUUCCACUCCUACUUGGACCGCUUUCCUACAUGUGAUUGCUUCAGCUGCAAAUGCGAAAGUUACCCCAUGAUGGAUCUCUAAGCAGAAAGUAAGACAACCCAUUCUUCGUUUCUGACAACAAUCCCUGAGGCAGAUUGGUGGUGAUUCGCAUCAUACGCACCAUCAAAAUUAAUUUUUACGAAUUCAUUAGGUGGAUAACUCCAUCUUCUUAUCUCCUUCCCCUUUACUGGAUUUCUCAUUUCUAAACCAUUUAAUUCAGCCAUAUAGUUGUUGAUGAAAUCUGCUAUUUCCUGCCCUGUACUAUUUUUCUGCUCAUGUAUUCUUCGUUUCUGACAACAGAAGAGGCGGCUCUGGUAUGAAGUAAGCUGAUCAAAGAUCCAGGUAAUCCAUUGUAAAAAAAAUCCAUGUUAGGAUCUAGAAUAAAAUUUUGAAUUUUUAAUAGUGUCCAAACUUCUAUUGUGACAGGACAUUCGCGAAAAAUAUGGUCGAUUGUUUCAGCCAUUUCUCCACAUCGGGGGCAGCUUGUACUACUAACAAGUUUUCGGUGCUGCAUAUUAACCCUGUCGGCAAAUAGUUCCAUGAAAUUCUCCAUACUGUAACUUUGAUUUUAUUUGGAAGAUUUAGGAGUCAAAGUUUUUUGUAAAAAUUCCUGUAAUCAAUUUGUAAAGCGUAAGCUCUAGGAAUUUCAUCAAAAGUUUGUAAUAGUUUAUAGGCACUGCAGACCGAAAACUCGCCUGAAUACGCGCCUCUUCAGACAAGUAGAUCAUUGUGAGGUGUGUAUGCUAAAGGUAUCCGGAGGAUUUUUCCAGCAUCUUCCUUUGAAAAGGUAUUCUUUAUAAGUUCUCUUUUCCAUGUUCUCUCAUUACUGUUGAUCAACUCACUAGCCUUGACAUCACACAUACAAUUAACAACUGAAGAUAAUUUAACAUUAACAGCAUCUGGAAUCCAAGCAUUAGCAUUGAUAGAAAUAUUUGUACCUGUACCAACCCUCCAACAUAUUCUUUUUUUCCAAAAUACCCUUCACUGCCCAUAUGCUUUUCCAUAUAUAAGAACUGGUUUUCCCCAAUCGAGAAUUUAAAAAAUAUUCAUUUGUGAAAUAUUUUGUUUUAAAAACUCACAUAACCAAAGAAUCUUGAUUAGUAAUAAUCCUCCACCCUUGCUUAGCUAGUAAUGAAAUAUUGAAUUGAGCUAGAUUUCUAAAGUCCAUUCUCCCUCCUCUUUUGAUCGACAUAUAAAUUUCCAUUAACACUAGUGUAUCCCUUUCCUUCCCUAUCCUUUUUGCCACCAGAAUUUAGCGAAAAUAUUUUCUAACUCCUCACAUAAUAAUUUUGGUAGGAGGAAACAUAUCAUAGCAUAAGUUGGAAUUGCUUGAAGAACAGAUUUUAUAAAGACCUCAUUUUCCCCUUGUGAUAGUAACCUUGUACUCCAGCUUUCAAUUCUUGACUUAACUUUAUCUUUGAGAUUCUAAAAAGCUUUCUUCUUUUGUUUGCCUACAACAUUAGGGAGUCCUAGAUAUUUUUCCAAAUUUGUGGAGCAUCUCAUACCUAGUAAACUCGAGAUUUCUUCUGUCUCUUUCUGCUGUAUUUGAGCUAUAGAAAAUUGUCGAUUUGCUAAAAUUCACGCAUCGACCUGAUUGUUCAUAUUCUUUCAAAAUGUCUUUUAAAAUUCUUGCCCUUCUAUUUGUCGCUUCACCAAAUAGUAUACAGUCAUCUGUAAACAGCAAGUGCGAUAUUUCUGGUCAUUUUCUACUAACCCUCACUCACUUCAUCAAUCCCUCAGCUAUUGCUAAUCUUAUCAAAGAUGAGAUUCCCUUAUUGCAUAUUAAAAAAAAAGGGCUAAGCGGGUCACCCUGACGAAGCCCUCUAGUCGGCUUAAAAACAUUUCCUCUUCUCCCAUUGAUAUUCAUUGUAUAAGAGACUGUAGAGAUACAUUUCAUGAUUAAUGUCGCCCAUUCCAUUGUAAAUCCCAUUUGAAGCAUAACUUCCUUUAGAAAAGCCCACUUAACUUAUCAUAAGCCUUGUUCAUAUCUAGUUUUACUGCCAUAAGCCCUUUUUUCCCAGUUAGUUUUGACGUAGCAUAUGUAAUAGUUUAUAUGCUAUAAGCACAUUGUUAGUAAUUAAUCUUUCGGGAACGAAAGCACUUUGAGCUUUGUCAAUACAUUUUCCAAUGACUUCCUAAAGAUGAUUUGUAAAUGUUUUUGCCAUAAUUUUGUAUAAAAUUGUGCAUAAGCUGAUAGGUCUAAAAUUAACAAGACUUGUGGGAUUUGGUACUUUUGGGAUAAGUACAAUAUCUGUAAGGUUUAGAGAGUCAAAAUCCCUUCCAUCAUUCAGAAGUCCCAAGCAAAAAACUUUCAAGAGCUUUACCUACAAUGUGCCAAAAUCUUUGAAAAAAUAAAGCAGGAAAUCCAUCAUAACCUGGUGCUUUAGUGGGCCCUAUUCCUUUCAAAGCUGAAAAUACCUUUUCUGUCGUAAAUGGUAUUAGUAAAUCUGUAUAGAUAUCAGAUGAAAUAUUAGUAUUAAUGCCCUUUAGAAGGUGGGAUAAAUUCCCAAUUCCCUUUGACGAAAAUAAAUUCUAAAAGUAAUUUGAAGCGGCCUCAUUAAUCGCUGAUUCAUCAUAAAUUUCCUUCCCUUCAUCAGAUUCCAGCCUAGUAAUAGUGUUAAUUUGUCUACGAGCUAAGGCAUAUUUGUGAAAAAAGGCAAAAUUUUUAUCUUCUAAUUGAAGCCAAUUGGCUCGUGCCCUCUGUUCCCAAGACAUUUCGUCUUUAGCAAUCUCCAUAUUAAGUUGAAUUCUAGUAUCAAUCAGCUUUGCCAUUGUGUCAUCAUCCCUAUCGCUUGCCAGUAGAUCUUCAAGUUCCUUUGUGAACUUAGUCUUUAACCUAUCUCAACCCUGCUUUAUUGAGCUUGCCCACCUUAUAUCUGCAGCCUUCUAAACUUUUCAAUAAUAGAUCCAUUUGAUGACUCCCAUGAUUUUAUAAUCUCUCGUUCAAUAGAUGCCUUCAUGGUCCACCAUGCCUUUAAUUUGAAUCUUGGAAUCCCCUUAUAGUUCUUCUCAUUAUUAGUACUGAUAAGUAGGGGAUAAUGAUCUGAAAUCGAGUGUGUUAAAUGAUGAAUAAUUCCUUUUGGGAAAAGAUGCAUCCACUUUUCAUUCGCCACUCCCCUAUCCAGUUGCUCUUUAAUAUUUAUUUUCGGUAGAUUCCUCCCUUCCGUGUAAACCAAACCCCUGAAUACCCCAUGUCCAUUAAUUGACAUUCUUCUAAAACCUCACUUAAAGUUUUCAUUCUUUUCUCCUCCUUCGAUUAACGUCCACUUUUUUUUUAAAAGAAUACAUUAUUUCAUUAAAAUCACCUCAUACCAACCAUUGGUGGUUUUGAUCCUGACCCAACUUCCUUAACAAAUUCCACGAGACACUCUUAUUAUUAACAUAAAGUGAAUCGUAAAACCCUGUAAAGCUCCACUCUUCAUUGAAAUUGUCCUCUUUUAUCAUCACAUCAAUAUGGCUUUUUGAGAAAUUGUUUGGACAAACCGUAAUACCUGCUUUCUAUGCCAUACAAAUUUCAUCUCUAAAACCUUCAACUCCUACAUCAAUCCCAUUUUCAAAACCAUAUCUCCUCCUAAUUUUUUUCAUGCGCUUUUCGUCUAUUUUGGUCUCCAUAAGGAAGACUAUUUAGGGUUUAUGUUGCUUCAGCAAAUACUGAAGCCUUCUCACUGACCGUGAACUCCCCAAUCCACGAACGUUCUAGCAAAUGGUUUUCAUUGUGCCCGGUCGACUUGCCAUUUGGCAGUUGACGAUUUAUUUUGGUUGGUAAUACACCCUUGCUUGAGAAUUUUUACCAACAAAAUUAUGCCUCCUUCGAUAUGAAAGUCUUGGCCGUCGUACUUCAUUCUUUUUGCUUCCUCUUUACAGGAUUUUCCUUUGCCAUUGUCUUUAAUUUCUAUAUCCUCUGAUUUUCUUUUUCUCAAUAUACUCUCUCCGUUACAAAUAUCCACCUCUCUUACUACCUCAAUUCUCUUCCAACUCGAUUUCUUGGCUGGUUUCAAAAUUCCUGCGUAAUUAUUAUUUUCCCCAUUUGCUUUUUCUUCCACAACUAUCUCUUCCUCCUGUAUCAUCAUCCCUUUCUCUGUUUCUGUAAAUUGUAAACUAUCUUGGAUUUUUUGGGCCAUGUCACUUUUAUCCUUCUCUUGAAAAUUUAACUCAAGAAUCUUCUCUAUAUCACCUGUAUAUGAACAUUGAGGCUGCACCUUCUUUGAAAAGACAUUAAAAUUUAAACUCUCCCUUUCAAUAAAAUUUACUUCUGCUUUUAAUGCUAAAGAAUAAAGAAGAUCAUCUCUGAUUUUAUUUUUUUUACAGGUGUAAAAUUGAGGCAUUCGAUGAGCCCAUGCUCCACAUUCCAUAGUCAAACCAGAAUGUUGGUAAUUUUUCAUAUUUAAAAGGGAUUCAGGACUUACUUUGAUUUUCAGUUGAGACGAAAAUACCCCUGCGCAAGGGUUUUUGCACAUCUAACUGAACUCUAAGCUGACAGAAUUCACCAUUAAUUGUAGAUCUCAGAACGCCUCCAAAAGUAACCCCAAUAGCAUGCAUUAAAUCUUUUUUUAUCAAAUUCUGGUAAACAUGGUCCAAUUUUAAUCCAAAACGGGGAUGAAUUAAGCCUAAUAUGACUUAUUUCCAUCGGUUUAUUCAACUGAUCAAAGAGCAUUAAAUUUUUCUGAAACAACCAUGAUUGCCC
rnacentral:lncRNA from 1 species